GUCUACGGCCAUGCCACCUUGAGCAAGCCUGAUGUCAGAUCUUGGAAGCUAAGCAGGGUCAGGCCUGGUUAGUACUUGGAUGGGAGACCACCUAGGAAGACCAGGUGCUAUAGGCG
rnacentral:rRNA from 1 species